AUUUAAUACAGUUUGGGAAAUGGCGGCCAAGUAUUCUGAGAAAAACAUCAUAAUUUUGAGAAAACAUUGCAAGAAAAAAAGCUGUAAUAGCUCAAAAAUAAAGUUGCAGCUUUUUUUGUAAAUAUGAGCAAAAAUCAUAUUUUUUUCAAGUCAUAAUAUUUUUGUGAAAUUAAGCUGUCAGGAAAUUAUUUCUGUAAGACAAAGACUGUAUUUUCGCUGUUAGCUCGUACCACAAAAUUUCCCAACACAAAAUCAAAACUCUAAAGACUUUAAAGUCUUUCUAAUUGUUUACUUGCAGCAAGGAGUACAGGCAAUGGGUUACACCUGCACUGAGGCAGUCUCAGUGUCUUCAUGAAUACAUAUACAAGAAAUGUCCCUCCCCAGUGGCUCCCCCCCGUUACACUCCUCAUUUCUCUCAUUUUGAUCGCCAGGGAAGCGCCAUCUCGGUCAUCUCCACUUUCACUCCAAGGUCCUCUUUAUCUCUGGAAUGCUAGCUCAGCCGGAUACAUCUCAAACAAUUCACUCUUUAGUCAGUAUAAAGGUGACAACAACAAUUAUCACACAGUUCAACAGAUUCAGACUGAAAUAAAAUUUCAUGUUAAUAAAGCAUAAAUGUAUUAAUAUAUAAACGUGUCUGCAUAUUUCCUAACAAAAGUCUUAAUAUUUAGAAAAUAAUUACAAUAGUUCAAGACUGAAGUCAGAUAAUUAUGAUGCCUUUAUCAUUAGGAGUCAAGUUGUCAUUUUUUAAUUAAAAAAUUUUAUAUUUUGAUAGAAAGAGGGUGACCAUUUUUAAAAUAAAAGUAAUUUUUUGGAGACAUAAAUCUGUUUACACAAAACUGCAGGGACUCUGGGUGACAAACAGUAUUGACUGCAAUAAGACACAACUAUGACAGUGAGAUACAAAUGACCACAAACACACUUCAAAAUGACAAAAGACAACUCCAAAAUGACACCAAAAGAUGAUGAAGGGACAGAAAGGAUGACGAAGAAACGCAAAAUCAGGACAAAGAGACAUAAAAUUGCUACACAGAAACACAAAAUCACUAAAAUGUGGUACAAAGAGAUUACAAAUGGACACAAAUGGAUGUAAACAGAAAGAAAUUAACUACAAAGACACACAAAAUGACUAUGAAAAUACACAGAAUGACCACAAAGUGACACAAACGACACAAAACAACUAGAAAAUGACACAAACUUAGUUCAAGGGUGUUAUGAUCCUGCUCUAGCCCCUGCCCUUCUUUCUCCUUCCUCUUUUCUUCCUUUUCCUUCUUCCUGUAUUUGUCAUCUGUCUCUGCAGUAAUGCACAUCAGCUGCAGUAAUUAGUUCACUCUGUUCACCUGUUCUCUACUUCACCUCCUGCUAUUUAAGCCCCGUGCUUUCAUUCACUCCCUGCCGGAUCAUCAACCCACAUGCCUUCAUAGACUCACAUCUCUGCAUGGACUCCGUUCUCCUUCCGGAUUCUCACCUGCUCUGCUUCAGUUUCCAGCCUGCUAUAGCCCCACCUGGACUUUUGUCAACCCCACUCCUGAAUAACAGCCGGUCCCCUCUGUCUUCAGCCUUCUGUCUGCCAGUCUUGUCCCCCUGCCAGCUUCCUGAUUCCCCAGGCCUGCCUUCCUUGCCUCCUUAGUUCUGUUUUCCCUUAGUUUGUGAGUACACUGUCUGUUGGCUUAGUUUAGUUUUUUGCUUGCAUUUUCCUAGUGUUCCACUGUAUAGUUAGUUUUGUUCUCUUGCGUAUUUUGUAUUUGGUUUGGUUUAGUCUUUCCCCGUAGGUUAAUUCAGAUUUUUAGGUUUUUUUAGUUUUAGGGUUAGAUCGGGUUUUUUUCAGGUUAGACUGUUGUCUGAGGGUUGGUGUUUUCGUUAGAGGCUUAGUUUCCCCUUGUAGUUUAUUAGCAUUUAUUUGUACAAAUAAAUCCUGUUGUUUGACACCUGCUCUGUCUCAGCCUGAUUUCUGUGCCUGCGUCUGGGUUCUCCGGCCCUCCUACUGUAACAAAGGAGACAGAAGAUGACUAGAAAGAGACACAAAAUUAUUGGAAGAUGACACAAACAACUACAAAGGGCCACUAAAAGACUUUAAAGAGACACAAAAUCCCCCAAAAAGUGACAAAAUAUUACAUCGAAGACACACAAGCAACUAGUAAAAGACAUAAAGGGUCAUCAUUUUAGUUCA
ensembl:lncRNA